rnacentral:misc_RNA from 1 species
GAUGAAGAACGCAGCGAAAUGCGAUAAGUAGUGUGAAUUGCAGAAUUCAGUGAAUCAUCGAAUCUUUGAACGCACAUUGCGCCUCCUGGUAUUCCGGGGGGCAUGCCUGUUCGAGCGUCAUUUCACCACUCAAGCCUCGCUUGGUAUUGGGCAACGCGGUCCGCCGCGUGCCUCAAAUCGACCGGCUGGGUCUUCUGUCCCCUAAGCGUUGUGGAAACUAUUCGCUAAAGGGUGUUCGGGAGGCUACGCCGUAAAACAACCCCAUUUCUAAGGUUGACCUCGGAUCAGGUAGGGAUACCCGCUGAACUUAAGCAUAUCAAUAAGCGGAGGA